CCUACGGGCGGCUGCAGUGGGGAAUAUUGGACAAUGGGCGAAAGCCUGAUCCAGCCAUGCCGCGUGUGUGAAGAAGGCCUUCAGGUUGUAAAGCACUUUCAGUGGGGAAGAAAGCCUUGGGGCUAAUACCCUCGAGGAAGGACAUCACCCACAGAAGAAGCACCGGCUAACUCCGUGCCAGCAGCCGCGGUAAUACGGAGGGUGCGAGCGUUAAUCGGAAUUACUGGGCGUAAAGCGCGCGUAGGCGGUCUGAUAAGCCGGUUGUGAAAGCCCCGGGCUCAACCUGGGAACGGCAUCCGGAACUGUCAGGCUAGAGUGCAGGAGAGGAAGGUAGAAUUCCCGGUGUAGCGGUGAAAUGCGUAGAGAUCGGGAGGAAUACCAGUGGCGAAGGCGGCCUUCUGGACUGACACUGACGCUGAGGUGCGAAAGCGUGGGUAGCAAACAGGAUUAGAUACCCGUGUAGUC
rnacentral:rRNA from 1 species